ensembl:lncRNA
GGAAGAUUAAUACUUUGUCGUGUCGUGUCGUGUCGUGUCGUGUCGUGUCGUGUCGUGUCGUGUCGUGUCGUGUCGUGUCGUGUCGUGUCGUGUCGUGUCGUGUCGUGUCGUGUCGUGUCGUGUCGUGUCGUGUCGUGUCGUGUCGUGUCUAGUUCGCGCUGGAUUAUCCGCUUCCAGUCCCUCGUCAUAGUUUGUUUCCUUUUUUGUUUAUCGACCCUGUUUUCCGUGACCACGACCUAGAUUCCUGCCUUGCCCCGCGUAUGCCUGUUUACCAAUCGCCUGACCUCUUGCAUGUCUAUGGAUUACGUUUUGGAUCACGUUUUGGAUUUGUCUGCCUGUCUCUCUUUCAAAUAAACAACUGUUCAUCCUGCACUUGCAUCCGUCCUAUCUCUGCUCCGUCACGAUUCGUGACAGAACUGAGUAAUUUCUGUUCUAAUUGCUGCAGUCAGGGCUGUGUGGCACCUAUCUGCGUACUCUGCCAGCUUCUCUGUUUUUUCAUCCAUGGAGGAAGGCUGGAAAACACCUGUGGACAAACCAUGCUGAGCUCAGCAAUGGGUGCAGUUCGAGAUAUGGUGUCUCUGUCCAUAGCCAGAUUCUCAAAAGCCCUCUUAAUUGAACAAAAUUUGUUGUAGUACUUCGGGGCCUUCUUGUAUCGAUUUAUUACACUUGUUACAGUCUUCACUGCAAAAUGUAAAAAAGAACCAUGUAAGUAAGACAUUCUGGGUGAACAAUAAAAGUAUAACUUCUUGUCUAGUCCUUUGUAAGUUCAUUUGUACUAAUUUGUAUGCCUCAAAUAACCUUAAAGUAUAAACAGGAUACUAUUAAGCUAUUGAAUAAAAACUUUGCUGUGGCCUUGGACCUAUUUGGAUCCAUUUCAGGAGCUAAUCAGUUCAUCUGCUGUUUGGUAAUGAGAAUCUUGGCCAGACGCAUGGACAGACAAACAACCCAAGAACACAAGGCCUCCACCACCUAGUGUGGGAGCAU